rnacentral:rRNA from 1 species
UACGGAGGAUGCAAGCGGUAUCCGGAAUGAUUGGGCGUAAAGGGUCCGUAGGUGGUGAUGUAUGUCUAUUGUCAAAGGUUCUGGCUUAACCAGAGACAGGCAGUAGAAACUGCAAAACUAGAGUGCAGUCGGGGCAGGGGGAAUUCCUGGUGUAGCAGUGAAAUGCGUAGAGUUCAGGAAGAACACCGGUGGCGAAAGCGCCCUGCUAGGCUGUGACUGACACUGAGGGACGAAAGCUAGGGGAGCGAAGGGG